rnacentral:rRNA from 1 species
UACGAAGGGAGCGAGCGUUGUUCGGAAUCACUGGGCUUAAAGCGUGCGUAGGUGGAUUGGUAAGUAAGGAGUGAAAUCCCAGGGCUUAACCCUGGAACUGCUCUUUUAGACUGCCUGUCUGGAAUUCGGAAGAGGUUGGUGGAACUCCCAGUGUAGAGGUGAAAAUUCGCAGAUAUUGGGGAAGAACACCGGUGGCGAAGGCGACCAACUGGUCCGACAUUGACACUGAGGCACGAAAGCGUGGGUAGCAAACAGG